rnacentral:rRNA from 1 species
AUGACUUAUGCGUUCUGUUAUCAUUUCCAACUAGAGGAUCCCUUAAUCCAAUUAAAGGAGGAUUAUAAAUGGAUAGAUGUCUUCGAUUUCCACUGGAGAUUGGGAAUCGAUGGACUUUCAUUAGGAUCUAUUUUAUUGACAGGAUUUAUCACUACUUUAGCUACUUUAGCAGCUUGGCCAAUUACACGGAAUUCACGAUUAUUCUAUUUCCUGAUGCUCGCAAUGUAUAGUGGCGGUUCCAUUUUUUUCUUAAUCGGAGUUCUGGGUAUGGGCUUAUAUGGUUCCAAUGAACCAGGAUUAGAUUUGGAAUAUUAA